UACGAAGGGGGCUAGCGUUGCUCGGAAUUACUGGGCGUAAAGCGCACGUAGGCGGAUUGUUAAGUCGGGGGUGAAAUCCCGAGGCUCAACCUCGGAACUGCCUUCGAUACUGCGGGUCUCGAGUCCGGGAGAGGUGAGUGGAAUUCCUAGUGUAGAGGUGAAAUUCGUAGAUAUUAGGAAGAACACCAGUGGCGAAGGCGGCUCACUGGCCCGGUACUGACGCUGAGGCGCGAAAGCGUGGGGAGCAAACAGG
rnacentral:rRNA from 1 species